UUGUUUUCUUCCUCAACAUCCCUUCGCUUCUUCUGCUCUUCCACCCUCGCCGACCGUGUUAGAUGCUUAGAUCCACACACACACUUGAAAUAGGGCGACGAAGAAAAAGUCUUUCUUAACUGUUGGCUCCAUUUUCUCGAUCUUUCACCCGUCUCUGUGUUAUACCCGGAUGGCGGAUUGAAACAACUGCAAACAGGCAGAUGGAACCGAAGGAUGAAGUGGUGGAAGAAAAAUUAAAGGAAUUAGAGGUUAUAGGACAUGCAUGACAUGUAUGUCUCCGUUUCACGAUCAUGAUUCGGUUUUUAGUGGGUUUUACUACAAUCACGCCAACCAACGUAUUCACGAAUAUUUCGUGAAAUUUCGUCAAUACCCUUCGACUGAAAAUUGUUGUGUCUAUGCCGAAGACUUAUAUGGCACCCCUAUCCAUCGAGAUUUUGAAAAGCGCAAAAAAAAGCGAAAGAAUUAAGGAAAAAGCGUUAACGCAGCGGUGGAAAUAAAAAAGAGGGCAAAGCCGCAGCUAUAGCUUCUCCAUCUUUUGCUGCCGGGCCAGCUUAUCCAACCAUGGAUGCUAGCCGAGCUUCACCAUCUUUGGCUGCCGGGCCGGCUUAUCCAGUCAUAGAUUCUGGCCCAGCCUCUCCAUCUUUGGCUGCCGGGACAUUAAGGGACUCCAUGGCUGCUGGCCCAGCCCCUCCGUCUUUGGCUGCCGGGCCAUUUAUGACAGCGAUGGACGCUGGCCCAGCCUCUCCGUCUUUGGUUACCGACCCAUUCAUGAAAAGUAUGGACGCUGGCCAUACCUCUCCAACUAUGACUGCCGACCCACUCGUUCCAGCUAUUGCUACCGUCCCAGCUCCAAAACGAAAACAUACCGUAACUGAAGCCGAAAGGUUGCAAUCUCGGAUAUGUUAUUUUUGCAGAAGAUACGGCCACUACGCAAAAAGCUGCCCUUUGCGCCCAAGCCCAAAUGCACUACCAUGGCAGCAGCCGUGGCAGUAACCGUGGCAGAAACCGUGGCAGCAACCGUGGCUGCAACCGUGGUAACAACCGUGGCAACAACCGUGACAACAGCCGCAGCAACCCUGGCAGCAGCAACCGUGGCAGCAAACUAAUCACGUUGGCAAUAGCCAGCAACAAUUGCCUCGUGAAGGUCUACGAUCUAACAGAUGUUUCCAACAACUAAUCGCUUAAUAAUUUAUGAGCGACGCACUUUUCUUUUCUUUUUUUAGCACGGAAUAACAACAAUAAAAAAACAAAAUAUGUAGUACUAAACCGAGAUUUACAUUGAAGUGGG